UUCUGGUGAUGUGGAAAGUCUCGAAGAAGAUCUUUGAACCUCUCCCAUGCAUGAUAUAAGUUCUCAUCUUGCUUCUGUUUGAAGCACACAAUCUCACUACGUAGUCU
rnacentral:snoRNA from 1 species